AUUGAACGCUGGCGGCAUGCCUUACACAUGCAAGUCGAACGGUAACGGGUCCUUCGGGAUGCCGACGAGUGGCGAACGGGUGAGUAAUAUAUCGGAACGUGCCCAGUAGUGGGGGAUAACUGCUCGAAAGAGCAGCUAAUACCGCAUACGACCUGAGGGUGAAAGGGGGGGAUCGCAAGACCCCUCGCUAUUGGAGCGGCCGAUAUCAGAUUAGCUAGUUGGUGGGGUAAAGGCCUACCAAGGCAACGAUCUGUAGUUGGUCUGAGAGGACGACCAGCCACACUGGGACUGAGAUACGGCCCAGACUCCUACGGGAGGCAGCAGUGGGGAAUUUUGGACAAUGGGCGCAAGCCUGAUCCAGCAAUGCCACGUGCAGGAAGAAGGCCUUCGGGUUGUAAUCUGCUUUUGUCAGGGAAGAAAUCUUCUGGGCUAAUACCCCGGGAGGAUGACGGUACCUGAAGAAUAAGCACCGGCUAACUACGUGCCAGCCGCCGCGGUAA
rnacentral:rRNA from 1 species